CACCUGCUGCUCCCCUCAGCAGUGUAUUUAGUCAGUCUGCCUGUUCUGGUGAAUCCUCUUACCCCCUGCACAUUUUGCCUGUACCCCAGUUCUUGUAUGCAUAAAUAAAUAAUUUUUUUUUUUUUAAGGAGGUGGAUGCAGCAUGGUUUGUAAGAAAAAACAAAAGAUAAUGUCAAAAAAUUGCUAGUUUUGGAGCCUCCCUGGUGACUCAAGGGUUUAAGACACAGCACUAUGAAGCUGUCCAUAGUCACUGCAGCAGGAGUUCGACCCCCAGCCAAGCUGUUGACCCACAUGUGUACUUUGGUCAAUUUGCCUGUUCUGUUCCCCACUCUAUCUCUGGUGGAUCCUCUCAUCCCCCACACCUCUGGCUUAUACCCUUGUUCUUGUAUGCAUAAAUAAAUCUUUUUAAAAAAUUGCUAGUUUUUUACAGGAUCUCAAAACUACAAACCCACAUUUGAUCACAAAAUAUGACACUUUUAUAAUGGCCAAAGAAGGCAAUGAUUAUUAAGAAGCCCAAGGAUCAUGUUUAUUCAAAAUUAUAAUAUGCAUAGUAAUGGACAACUAAUAGGGAGGCUCUGGAGGCCUAGUAGCUUUUAUCUGGCUUUGAAUAUGUAGAGUCCAUCUACAAGGUUUAAAAUAUGGAAACAUAUUUGAAUUUAAUACAUUAUGAUUCAGAAGACCCUGAAUCUUUACAUUGAGAUAUCAAGGGUCAAGGGCUCCAGGUUAAGAUGAAAACUCUUCUCUAUCACUUUAUUUGCCCUUUAGAACAUAUUGUAUUUGGUAGAUUGUCGGGGGGCAGUCCUGUGGGAAUGAUAGUAAUUGGGGGAGCAGUGGGCGAGUCGGGAGAGGUCUGCUGCACCAUGUGGGUUUCUCCCUGGCUGGGGAUCAAACUCGGGCUGCAAUGUCUGGCGAUAGCUUGAUAGCGCUGUCUUUAACCCCUGUGCCAGCAGGGAGGCCCUGUUGCUUUUUUUUAACUUACAUUUCUUCUCAACGUUUUCUGUAUUUUGUGAAAUUGCAAAAUGGUUUUGAAUGAACUUGAACCACCAUUUACAAUCAUGGAUUUCAAGCAGAAGAGGAAGAAUACCAUGAGUUUUCCCCUUCUAUUAAAUAAUAUUAAGAAUAGGAAUAAUUUUAACAAGCAUAGUAGAGUUUAACAUCCCUUGAAGAAGGAUCCGUUGCGGUCAUGUUGAAAGCUUUCCUGGAGAUGGGAGGCUAAACGCAGGUUAAUGCUUUGUACACAUUUCUUUAUGUAACCACUGACUGGUUCUCCACAAUUUUAUAAAGACAAAUUGGGGCUUUUUUCGUUGUCAGGGAAGACUAGGAUGGCAUACUUGGCCACGGCAUGAUCCAUGAGUUAAAGACGUUAUUAUUUGCUCUUUCCCAUGUUAGGACUUUCUCCAGCAUUUCUGCUUGUCUGCUAUCUAAAGAAAUCCCAAUCAAGACACCACUAAUCAGGGCUCCACAUAGGCUCCCUGAUUCUUUAAGAAUGGUAAAAGAUGAAUCCAUCAGUCUUGAACACCAAAACUUCAUCACUCUCUGAGGUGUGGCCUGAACCCAGAAAACAGCCUCACAGUGGCAGGAGGGAAUGCUUCUUAAGCUGAAAGUCAGAGGCCUUUGGGCUGAGAUGGUAAGGUCUGGUGUAGGGAUUGGGAUCUACUUGGAGAGGACUCUGUCCAUUCUGGAAGGGUCUGGGUGGGAGUGCUUGCUAAUCUCUGAGCUGUUCUGAGCACCCAGAUUCCCUGCUUCCACUUCUUCCACACUCUGCUAUCGACAGUAGUAAAAUACAGAGUGUCAGGAGGCAGUGGAAAUUCCCCAGGCCGCUGGGUUCUUCUUGGCCUAGGUGAACACACAAGUUACCUUCAGGCAGAAGAGUAGAAGAAAGGGACCCAAUAACACACGUAUGGAGAAUCUACAUGAAAAUUCAUUCCAACGGGGAUGAUCCUGUAAGAGCAAACCAUGCUGGUUCAGUCUAUAAUGUCACAUCCACGAGGAAAAGGUAACAAAGUUUCUGGAAGAAUACUUAUUAAAAUGUUAUCUAUUUUCUUCAAGUGGAGUAAAAUCAGAAAAAAAAGAAGUUGUGGGAAGAUGAUGCUGUUGACAUUGUAAUGAUGUCUUGAAUUCACUUGACUCAACUUCAGCUUCACCUAAGGAUAGCUUCUUAAUUUUCAGUAAUUUAAAAAAGACGAUGGUCUUUUCUGUUGAAUUAUUUAUUGUAAUUUUAGUGUAAGUUAUAUAACCAAAGGAAACUUUUAAAAGAUAUUGUAUAAAUACUAGAAUGCAGCUUCAUCUAGAUUUUACAAAUAUUGGUGAAACUAUAUUAAAAUCAUAGAAAUCUGAAUGUCAACAUUAUAGUCGAGAUGAACACACAGGAAUAUUAACACUUAAUUCUGCUGUUCCACAAUGUCAAUUUGAAACUAAAUUUCGACAGGCAAAAUCAACUCCUGUUUUCUUUUUACUAGUCUUUUUAGACUCAGUAGGCAUAUCACGGUACUGAAGAAAUAAGAAAAAUAAAUUAAAGUCUUAGUGUCACAAAAAAGAAUAGAAAAAAUUCUAAUUUCACAAACAAGCACUCUCCAAUAAGUGUAAAAACGGAAGCCUGCAUAUGCUGUAUAACUGUUGAAAAUAUCAUGUGAGUCAUCAACUGGCAGAAAGAAUUCAUUUUUAAAAAAUAUAAUAAUUUUUUUCUAAACCAAUAAAUGUUUUUUCAGCUGUGUAUGGGUCUCUAUAAUUAUUAUCACUGUUCCUAUAUAAUUGAAAGCCU